rnacentral:rRNA from 1 species
UACGAAGGGGGCUAGCGUUGUUCGGAAUCACUGGGCGUAAAGCGCACGUAGGCGGAUCUUUAAGUCAGGGGUGAAAUCCCGAGGCUCAACCUCGGAACUGCCUUUGAUACUGGGGAUCUCGAGUCCGGGAGAGGUGAGUGGAACUGCGAGUGUAGAGGUGAAAUUCGUAGAUAUUCGCAAGAACACCAGUGGCGAAGGCGGCUCACUGGCCCGGAGUCGACGCUGAGGUGCGAAAGCGUGGGGAGCAAACAGG